GAUGAACGCUGGCGGCGUGCCUAAUACAUGCAAGUCGAGCGAACAGGCGCGGAGCUUGCCCCUCUGACGUUAGCGGCGCACGGGUGAGUAACACGUGGAUACCCUCCCUAUAAGACUGGGAUAACUUCGGGAAACCGGAGCUCAUACCGGAUAAUCUAUUUAACCGCAUGAUUCAAUAGUGAAAAACGGUUUUGCUGUCACUUAUGCAUGGAUCCGCGCCGGAUUAGCUAGUUGGUAAGGUAACGGCUUACCAAGGCGACGAUCAGUAGCCGGUCUGAGAGGAGGAACGGCCACCUUGGGAAUGAGACACGGCCCAGACUCCUAAGGGAGGCAGCAGUGGGGAAUCUUCCGCAAGGGACGAAAGUCUGACGGAGCAACGCCGCGUGAGUGAUGACGGCCUUCGGGUUGUAAAGCUCGGUUAAUCGGGACGAAAGGCCUUCUUGCGAAUAGUGAGAAGGAUUGACGGUACCGGAAUAGAAAGCCACGGCUAACUACGUG
rnacentral:rRNA from 1 species